CUAACAAUGUUGUGAUAGUUUCAGGUGGACAACAAAGGGACUCAGCCAUACAUAUACAUGUAUCCAUUCUCCCCCAGCCCGCCCUCCCAUCCAGGCUCCCACAUAAUGUUGGGCAGAGUUCUGUGUGCUAAACAGUGGGUCCUGGUUGGUUAUCCAUUUUAAAUAUAGCAGUGAGAUGGACACUAUAU